AGAGUUUGAUCCUGGCUCAGGAUGAACGCUAGCUACAGGCUUAACACAUGCAAGUCGAGGGGCAGCAUGGUCUUAGCUUGCUAAGGCCGAUGGCGACCGGCGCACGGGUGAGUAACACGUAUUCAACCUGCCGUCUACUCUUGGACAGCCUUCUGAAAGGAAGAUUAAUACAAGAUGGCAUCAUGAGUCCGCAUGUUCACAUGAUUAAAGGUAUUCCGGUAGACGAUGGGGAUGCGUUCCAUUAGAUAGUAGGCGGGGUAACGGCCCACCUAGUCUUCGAUGGAUAGGGGUUCUGAGAGGAAGGUCCCCCACAUUGGAACUGAGACACGGUCCAAACUCCUACGGGAGGCAGCAGUGAGGAAUAUUGGUCAAUGGGCGAGAGCCUGAACCAGCCAAGUAGCGUGAAGGAUGACUGCCCUAUGGGUUGUAAACUUCUUUUAUAAAGGAAUAAAGUCGGGUAUGCAUACCCGUUUGCAUGUACUUUAUGAAUAAGGAUCGGCUAACUCCGUGCCAGCAGCCGCGGUAAUACGGAGGAUCCGAGCGUUAUCCGGAUUUAUUGGGUUUAAAGGGAGCGUAGAUGGAUGUUUAAGUCAGUUGUGAAAGUUUGCGGCUCAACCGUAAAAUUGCAGUUGAUACUGGAUAUCUUGAGUGCAGUUGAGGCAGGCGGAAUUCGUGGUGUAGCGGUGAAAUGCUUAGAUAUCACGAAGAACUCCGAUUGCGAAGGCAGCCUGCUAAGCUGCAACUGACAUUGAGGCUCGAAAGUGUGGGUAUCANACAGGAUUAGAUACCCUGGUAGUCCACACGGUAAACGAUGAAUACUCGCUGUUUGCGAUAUACAGCAAGCGGCCAAGCGAAAGCGUUAAGUAUUCCACCUGGGGAGUACGCCGGCAACGGUGAAACUCAAAGGAAUUGACGGGGGCCCGCACAAGCGGAGGAACAUGUGGUUUAAUUCGAUGAUACGCGAGGAACCUUACCCGGGCUUAAAUUGCAGAUGAAUUACGGUGAAAGCCGUAAGCCGCAAGGCAUCUGUGAAGGUGCUGCAUGGUCGUCGUCAGCUCGUGCCGUGAGGUGUCGGCUUAAGUGCCAUAACGAGCGCAACCCUUGUUGUCAGUUACUAACAGGUUCCGCUGAGGACUCUGACAAGACUGCCAUCGUAAGAUGUGAGGAAGGUGGGGAUGACGUCAAAUCAGCACGGCCCUUACGUCCGGGGCUACACACGUGUUACAAUGGGGGGGUACAGAGGGCCGCUACCACGCGAGUGGAUGCCAAUCCCAAAAACCUCUCUCAGUUCGGACUGGAGUCUGCAACCCGACUCCACGAAGCUGGAUUCGCUAGUAAUCGCGCAUCAGCCACGGCGCGGUGAAUACAUUCCNCGGGCCCUUGUACACACCGCCC
rnacentral:rRNA from 1 species